GCGACCCCAGUUUAGGCGGGAUCACCCAUUGAGUUUAAGCAUAUCAAUAAGCGGAGGAAAAGAAACUUACAAGGAUUCCCUUAGUAACAAUGAGCGAACCAGGAACAACCCAUCCUUAGAAUCGGGUGGCUCCAGCUUCUGAAUUGCAGUCUGGAGAAGCGUCCUCAGUGGCGGACAGGGCCCAAUUCCCCUGGAAGGGGACAUCAGAGAGGGUGAGAGACCUGUUGUGUCCGGACCCUGUCGCACCAUGAAGCGCUUUCUAUGAGUCGGGUUAUUGGGAAUAUAGCCUAAAUUGGGCAGUGAAUUCCAUCCAAGGCUAAAUACAGGAGAGAGACCGAUAGCGAAGAAGUACCAUAACGGAAAGAUGAAAAGGACGUUUAAAAUAGAGUCAAAGAAUGCUUGAAAUUAUCGGAAGAAAAGUGGAUAGGGGCUGGUGAUGCGCCCCGAUCGGAUGUGGAAUGGCGACGAGCUGGUCCACCGAUCGACUCGGGGCGUGGACCAGCAGGGAUUUGGGGGCGGCCAAAUCCCAGGCUUUUAAUACACUUUUGGAAUGCCAUCUCCUUAAUUGUGGUAGGCAGCGCAUUCCUCCGGUGUGCUUCGGCAUCUGCAUGCUUUGGAUUCUGGCCUACGGGCUCCCCAUUCGACCUGUCUUGAAAUACGGAUCAAAGAGUCUGAUAUUUGUGUGAGUUAAUAGGCGAGUAAACCUAUAAGGCAUAAUGAAGGAUAUUAGUGGCAUUCUCUUAANUUCUCUUGAGGGGCUUACCGCCUAUUGACCUUGAUCUUCUAAGAAGGGUUUGAGUGUGAGCAUACCUAUCGGGACCUAAAACAUGGUGAACUAUGCCAAAACGGGUCGAAGCUAGAGGAAAAUCUGGUGGAGGCCCCCAGCUAUACUGGUGUGUUAAUGUUCGUCUGACUUGGGUAUAGGGGCAAAAUACUAAUCGAACCGUCUAGUAGCUGGUUCCCUCCGAAGUUUCCCUCAAGAUAGUUGGAUCUCGCGUGUGAGUUCUAUCGGAUUAAGCAAUUGAUUAGACGCCCCGGGUGCGCAACGCCCUUGACCUAUUCUCAAACUUUAAAUAGGUAGGACGGCGCAGCUGCUUUGUUGAGCCGCACGACAGAACCAAGAGUUUCAAGUGGGCCAUUUUUAUUAAGCAGAGGCGAUGCGGGAUGAACAAAAAGCUGGGUUACAGUGCCAAAAUGUGCGCUAACCUAGAUUCCACAAAGGGUGUUGCUCGAUUAAGACAGUAGAAUGGUGGUCAUAGAACUCAAAAUCCGCUAAGGAGUAUGUAACAACUCACCUGCCAAAUCAAAUAGUCCCAAAAAUGGAAGGCGCUUAAGCGCGAGACCUACACCCAUCCGUUGGGGCAAGUGUCAGGCCCCGAUGAGUAGGAGGGCACGGCGGUCACUGCAAAACUUUGGGCAUGAGCUCGGGUGAAGAAGUCGUCGGUGGAAAUAUUGAUGGUAGUAGAAAAUAUUCAAAUGAGAACUUUGAAGGCUGAAGAGGGGAAAGGUUCCAUGUGAACAACACUUUCACUUGGGUUAGUCGAUCCUAAGGUUUGGGGGAACCCCGACAGUUAGCGCAUUUCGUGCAUACUCCUAAAGAGAGUCAGGUUAAAAUUGUUGAAUCAGGAUAUGGCGGUCGAUAAAAACAUUAGAAAGUCUGGAGAUGUCGGCGGGAGCCUCAGGAAGAGUUAUCUUUUCUAUUUAACAGCCUUCCCACCCUGAAAUCGGCUCAGCCAAAGGUAGGGUCUAGCAGAUGGAAGAGCACCGCACGUCGUGUGGUGUCCGAUGUGCUCCCGGUGGCUCGUGUAAAUCUAAAAGACCAAAUGUUGUACACACCUGGUCGUACUCAUAACUGCAUCAGGUUUCCAAAGUGAACAGCCUCUGGUAGAUGGAACAAUGUAGGCAAGGGAAGUCGGCAAAAUAGAUCCGUAACUUUGGGAAAAGGAUUGGCUCUGAGGGCUGUGCACGGAGAUCCCAAUCCCGAUCCCAUUGUCUUUUGGUUAGACUUCUCGAGAUGCUCCCGUGGUGAGAGCGAGUCAUCGCAUGCCGGCUGGGGGACAAACUGGGAAGGUUUCCUUCGAGGGCCUUCCCCAUGCAUCGAACAACCAACUCAGAACUUGUACUGACAAGGGGAGUCCGACUGUUUAAUUAAAACAAAGCAUUGUGAUGGUCCUAACAGAUGUUCACAUAAUGUGAUUUCUGCCAAGUGCUCUAAAUGUCAAAGUGAAAAAAUUCAACCAAGCACGGGUAAACGGAGGAAGUAACUAUGACUCUCUUAAGGUAUCCAAAUGCCUCGUCAUCUAAUUAGUGACACGCAUAAAUGGAUUAACAAGACUCCCACUGUCCCUGUCUUGUAACAUCCCACAUUUUACAUGUACUAGUAAUGUUCACAAAAAAUGACAUACGACUUGAUUUAAUUACUACCAAAAUNUGUCUACUAUCCAGUGAAACCACAGCCAAAGGAAUGGGCUUAGCAGAGUCUGCAAGGAAAGAAGACCCUGUUAAGCUUGACUCUAGUUUGACAUUAUGAAAUAAAUUAAGAGGUGUAGUAUAAAUGUGAGUCUAAAGGAGAAAGUGAAACACCACUACUUUUAACAAUAUUUUACUUAUUUCGUGAAUUGGAAGUGGGGCACUGCCCCUCUUUUUGGACCCAAGGCUCGAUCUACGGGCCGAACCAGGUAGAAGACAUUGUUAGGUGGGGAGUUUGGCUGGGGCAGCACAUUUGUUAAAACAUAAUGCAGGUGUCUUAAGAUGAGCUCAACGAUAACAGAAAUCUCAUGUGGAACAAAAAGGUAAAAGCUAGUUUGAUUCUGAUUUUCAGUACGAAUACAAAUCGUGAAAACGUGGCCUAACAAUCCUUUAGACCUUUGGAAUUCUAAGCUAGAGGUGUCAAAAAUGUUACCACAGGGAUAACUAGUUUGUGGCAGCCAAGUGUUCAUAACGACAUUGCUCUUUGAUCCUUCGAUGUCGGCUCUUCUUAUCAUUGUGAAGAAGAANGUGUUCAUAACGACAUUGCUCUUUGAUCCUUCGAUGUCGGCUCUUCUUAUCAUUGUGAAGAAGAAUUCAUGAAGUGUUGGAUUGUUCACCGACUAAUAGGGAAUGUGAGCUGGGUUUAGACCAUAUGAGACUGGUUAGUUUUAUCCUACUGAUUAGCAUACCUACUUAACUUGGGUUUCCUCCUAAGCAGUGCUUAAUUUAGCAUCGCAGUAUGGCCCAAUUAACUUUUUCCUCCACCUAGAGGAUAUAAAUUUCACCUCCAACAUCAUAUCCCUUUUUUUUGCCUCGAUCAUAGGGAGGUGUUACAAACAUUUAGGAAUCGAGUAAUGGAAUGUGCAUGAUAAACCACUCAGCCUUGAAGAGAGGUGUGUUUUAUGUUACUUUUC
rnacentral:rRNA from 1 species